CGCAUCUGUGCAUGCAGCAUAUCAAUAAGCGGAGGAAAAGAAACUAACAAGGAUUCCCCUAGUAACGGCGAGUGAAGCGGGAAGAGCUCAAAUUUGAAAUCUUAAAGGGUUUCCCUUUACGAAUUGUAGUUUAAAGAAGUGUUUUCUGUUGAGGUUUUGGUAAAAGUUCUUUGGAAUAGGACAUCAUAGAGGGUGAGAAUCCCGUAUUUGACCUUUACUUUCAACUUUGUGAUACACUUUCAAAGAGUCGGAUUGUUUGGGAAUGCAGUCCAAAAUGGGUGGUAAAUUUCAUCUAAAGCUAAAUAUUGGCGAGAGACCGAUAGCGAACAAGUACCGUGAGGGAAAGAUGAAAAGAACUUUGAAAAGAGAGUUAAACAGUACGUGAAAUUGUCAAAAGGGAAGCGUUUGACACCAGUGUUGUUUUUCUGAAAAUCAAUUAAAGAACUGUUUAUGCUAAGCUGUUUAGACUUUAUCAGCUAACUGUUUAGUUUUGAGCUUUUCUUUAAUGCACUUUUCAGUUAACAAGUCAACAUCAAUUUCUUUGCUGUAAAAAAGCUUGAGGAAGGUGGCUUGAGAUUCGUCUUAAGUGUUUAUAGCCUCUUGCCUAUGCAGUCGGAGAGAUUGAGGUCUGCAGCGUAGAUCCUUCGGGGCUAAAUGCAUUUGUGCUAAGUUAUAGCAUUUUAUAGACAACUUGUUGACUAUGAUUUGUCUUGUAGCUUACUCGCUUAUGUUAUUUUACCUACGCUUAGGAUGUUGAGUCAUCACACAUCUCU
rnacentral:rRNA from 1 species